rnacentral:rRNA from 1 species
CACGUAGGGUGCGAGCGUUGUCCGGAAUUAUUGGGCGUAAAGAGCUCGUAGGCGGUGUGUCGCGUCGGCCGUGAAAACCUGCAGCUUAACUGUGGGCUUGCGGUCGAUACGGGCAUCACUGGAGUUCGGCAGGGGAGACUGGAAUUCCUGGUGUAGCGGUGAAAUGCGCAGAUAUCAGGAGGAACACCGGUGGCGAAGGCGGGUCUCUGGGCCGAUGACUGACGCUGAGGCGCGAAGGCCAGGGGAGCAAACGGG